GGCACAGUGGCGCAGUGGUUAGCGCUGCUGCCUCACAGCAUGACGGUUGUGGGUUUGAACCCAUUUAUUUUA